rfam:Fukomys damarensis contig94764, whole genome shotgun sequence.
AGCUUUGCACAGUGGCAGUAUCAUAGCCAGUGAGGUUUAUCUGAGUGGCUAUUAUUGCUAAUUGAAAACUUUUCCCAAAAGAAGUGUAAAGCAUUGAAUGAAGCACAGCCAUAUUUAUAGCAAAAAAAGCAUAUU